rnacentral:rRNA from 1 species
UACAGAGGUCUCAAGCGUUGUUUCGGAUUCAUUGGGCGUAAAGGGUGCGUAGGCGGCGCGGUAAGUCGGGUGUGAAAUCUUGGAGCUUAACUCCGAAACUGCAUUCGAUACUGCCGUGCUUUGAGGACUGGAGAGGAGACUGGAAUUUACGGUGUAGCGGUGAAAUGCGUAGAUAUCGUAAGGAAGACCAGUGGCGAAGGCGGGUCUCUGGACAG